AACGAACGCUGGCGGCGUGCUUAACACAUGCCAGUCGAACGGGAAGGCCCUGCUUUGGUGGGGUGCUCGAGUGGCGAACGGGUGAGUAACCCGUGAGUAACCUGCCCUUGACUGUGGGAUAACUUCAGAAAGCUGGGGCUAAUACCGGAUAGGAGCUCCUGCUGCAUGGUGGGGGUUGGAAGGUUUCGGCGGUUGGUGAUGGACUCGCGGCUUAUCAGCUUGUUGGUGGGGUAGUGGAUUACCAAGGCUUGGACGGGUAGCCGGCCUGAGAGGGGGACAGGCCAAACUGGGAUGGAGAUACGGCACGGACCCGUCCGGGAGGGAGGGGUGGGGUAUAGUGUACUAGGGGAGGAACGCUGACGCAGUAACGCCACGCGGGGGAUGAGGGCCAGCGGUUUGGAUUGUGCUUCUGCUUGUCACGAAGUGUGAGUGACGGUAAUGGGUAAAGAAGCACCGGCUAACUCCGUG
rnacentral:rRNA from 1 species